GGUUUCGUCUCGGGUAGCCUCACGGUUUUCACCCGGUCCGGAAUCCUCCUCGUGGCAAACCAGGGUUCUCUUAACUGGGCGCUCUGGGGAACCACGACGUUUACUUUGAGAAAAUUAGAGUGUUCAAAGCAGGCGUAACCUUGCCAUUGAAUAUUACAGCAUGGGAUAAUAGAAUAUGACGUUGGUCUUAUUUUGUUGGUUUCUAAGGCUGAUGUA
rnacentral:rRNA from 1 species